CGCAGAAACCAGGCCGCUGCAACUGUUUAUUAAAAACAUAGCACUCUGCAAACACGAAAGUGGACGUAUAGGGUGUGAUGCCUGCCCGGUGCUGGAAGGUUAAUUGAUGGGGUUAGCGUAAGCGAAGCUCUUGAUCGAAGCCCCAGUAAACGGCGGCCGUAACUAUAACGGUCCUAAGGUAGCGAAAUUCCUUGUCGGGUAAGUUCCGACCUGCACGAAUGGCAUAAUGAUGGCGGCGCUGUCUCCAGCAGAGGCUCAGUGAAAUCGAAAUCGCUGUGAAGAUGCAGUGUACCCGCGGCUAGACGGAAAGACCCCGUGAACCUUUACUGCAGCUUGACACUGAACUUUGACCUUACUUGUGUAGGAUAGGUGGGAGGCUUUGAAGCUGGAACGCUAGUUCCAGUGGAGCCGUCCUUGAAAUACCACCCUGGUAAUGUUGAGGUUCUAACUCUGUCCCGUGAUCCGGGACGAGGACCGUGUCUGGUGGGUAGUUUGACUGGGGCGGUCUCCUCCUAAAGAGUAACGGAGGAGUACGAAGGUGCGCUCAGCGUGGUCGGAAAUCACGCGUAGAGUAUAAAGGCAAAAGCGCGCUUAACUGCGAGACCCACAAGUCGAGCAGGUACGAAAGUAGGUCUUAGUGAUCCGGUGGUUCUGUAUGGAAGGGCCAUCGCUCAACGGAUAAAAGGUACUCUGGGGAUAACAGGCUGAUACCGCCCAAGAGUUCAUAUCGACGGCGGUGUUUGGCACCUCGAUGUCGGCUCAUCUCAUCCUGGGGCUGAAGCAGGUCCCAAGGGUAUGGCUGUUCGCCAUUUAAAGAGGUACGCGAGCUGGGUUUAGAACGUCGUGAGACAGU
rnacentral:rRNA from 1 species